CAGUUAAAACCCUAGAAAAAAUUACAACCCAGUUGGACGGUGACGUGAGCGACAAAGAAUGUACUCCAGAUAUUGCUACCAAACCCUUCGAGUGAGAUUCUGAUUUGAUUGGUGAGAGUAGCACGUCGAACGGAACUCAAGAAGGUUCUCCAUGUCAGAUGGUCCUUCCAGUUUUGCAGAAGAUCGCUGAUUUGUUAAUGUCGCUUUGAGGAAAGCUUAGAAAGUGAUUGGAAGCAUUUGUAUAUUCUUUCUGUUUUGAAUCUUUCGACAAAUUCACUAAACGUUUAUGGUUUUGUUCUUAUGCUUUAGGACUUGAAGAGAGAGCAUACUGCCUUGUCUGAUGAAGUCAAGCUCACUACGAAUUCCUCCAGUGAACCUUUUGUUUUAAUCACUCACAAUUAUUUUCUAACUUUCCUUCCUCUCUUUGACUGUAAUUGUUUGUUUAGGGACAUCUAGGUAUUGGACAUGAACUUUUAAAGAAGAAGUAACUGAUUGAGCUUAAAGGCAACGUCUGAGUUUUCUGCAGAUUUAGACCUAUGAAUCAAACUGAUAUUUCAAGCCGAUCAGGUUCCGUUGUUGGAUUGGAAUCCUCCCUAGACAAUGGGUUGCAGGUCAUUUGUUCUGACUCCUCUAAAAAGCAGUUCAAGUUUGACCAUGUCUUCAGACCUGAGGGCAACCAAGAGGCUGUUUUUGCUCAAACGAGACCUAUUGUGAGUUCAGUGUUGGAUGGCUACAAUGUCUGCAUUUUUGCCUAUGAACAAACU